GGGCCCGUGGUCUAGUGGCUAUGACAUCACCCUUACACGGUGAGGGUCCCAGGUUCGAAUCCUGGCGGGCCCA
rnacentral:tRNA from 1 species